GGAUUUGCAAUUAAUUUAUAAUCUAUUUUCUAAUUAGACUCAAAUUAGAAUAACGAUAAUAAAUUAAAGAUAAUAUAUAUCUAUAAAUCUUAGUAGGAUUAGGAUUAAAGUAGGGUUAUAUAAAUGCCCAGCUAAUCUUCGAUUUCAUUACUCACAUUACAACUCACUUCACUUUGGAAUAAAAACAAUUGAUUCAAAUUUUCCAUCAAUUUUUAUUUUUCUUUUUUUUUCAGAGAUUAGAUAUGAAGAUUUUAGUUAGAGGUUUUUUCAAUAAGUUGAAUACACUAACAGGAAUUAUGUUUGAUUUAUUCCAAAGAUCCAAUUUCGAUAAGUUGAGGAAUUUCAUCACCAAAGUAUUUAUUGGAGAAAGGAACAAUUCCAAUACUCGUCUGGAUAAUUAUUGGUUAAGAUUUUUUCGGUAUUUCACCAUGUAUUAUUGUUGUUCAGUAUUUCUAUUAACAAUAAUAUGUGAAGCAUUGUGGAGGAUUGGAGUAGAGAUAACUGAUGUAAAAUAUUAUUCUAUGCUCGUAAUAAUUGCAUGGAUUGUGUUAUGGGUUUCAGCUAUAAUGAUUCGAAUCGAAUUGGAGAAGAAUGGAGUUAAAAUACCCUACUUAAGUAGUGAAGAUAACAACAAUAAUAAUGUUAAUGUUAGACCUCGAAAUUACUUAAAUGUAUAAAAUAGGAGAAUAAUUCGAACAAUUUCUUUAUAUAAUUUAGUUUUUUUUUCCUUACUAUCUUUAAUUUAGAGUAUGUUUUAUUGUUAUUUUAAUACUUAGUAUAAUCAUAAAUCAAUUUAAGAAUGUAUGUUAUUGUUAUCAAUAAUUUUGUUUAGUGGAGUUUUAUAUAUUUAAAAUAAUUACUUAGUAAUUAUACUGAUUAUACUGUGUAAUUACUAAUUGAUAAACUAUUCUAUUUUUUAAAUAUUAAUUAUUGAACAAUGUUAAUUUUUAGUGCAAUUACUAAUGGGAAAUUUCAUUUUUAAUGCUUAAAAAAACACCCUCUAACAAAAUUUAGACUCCUAAUUAAUUUAUACAAUCAAAUGCUAUUAUUUUCAAUUUUUACCCAAACUACCCUCCCUUUCAUUUUCCUUCUCUCUCUCUGUCUCUUUCUCUUCCUCACUCUAUCUUCUUCUUCCUCGCACCACCGAGACCAACCAGACCCAGGCACCAAGACCACCCAACCACCACUACCGAACAUCCUUUCCUCCACCACCGAA